UUAACAGAGUGUUCGUUCAGAUGUGAUUACAAGUAUAGUGUAGUUGCGAAGGGAUGGUUCAAACACUUCGUAGUGCCAGCUACCUGGUUCGAUGCUCGAUUACGCUGUGCUCUUGAAGGUGCAGUACUACUUUCUCCAAUCUCACCUGAAUUGGAAGCUGAAAUGACACAAAUUUUGAAAAAUUUCUUUACAUCAGAGUCUGAAGUUUUUACUGGAAUCCAUGCCACUAUCUCGAAUGGCAAUUAUUAUUCAAUGGAAGGAAUUCCAAUUAUCGACAUUCAAUUACCCUGGGCAGACAAUGAACCAGAUAACAAAGAUAAUAAAGAAAGAUGUAUAACUUUUAAUGGCAAUGGAGAUCUAGCUGACAGAAUGUGUGAAGACACGAGACCUUAUAUCUGCUAUCGAGCUGGCAGUAAAGAGGCGAAGACCAAUGAGUGUGGGACUGUUGAUAGCGCAUACCGCCUCGACAAACGAACAAAAAGUUGCUACAAGUUUCACAGAGUAUAGAACAUUUGCUCGAGCCCACUUCGCUUGUUCAGCCGAAGGCGGCCAUCUUGUUAUAAUAAACAGCGAGACAGAAGCCAAGGUCUUGAAAGAACUCUUUGCAAAGAACCCUGCUAUUACAAUGCCGGGGGUGUUUUGGAAAGAUGUGGCCUUUGUUGGUUUCCAGGAUUGGGGUGAACGGGGAGAAUGGAGGACUAUUCAUGGAGAAACGCUAGCAGAGGCUGGUUAUGACAAGUUUUCUCUCGGUGAACCACUCAAUGCAACUACUGGUGAGUUCUGUGGCUCCAUCUACCGGACAGCUAUGCUGAAUGACCUGUGGUGUGACAAACCAGCUCCUUUCAUUUGCGAGAAGAACCCUGACUAUCCAGCAGUCUGCCAUCCUUUGACUGAUGAGAAAACUAAGCCAACAAAAAAUAAAGAUUAAGGGAGAAA